rnacentral:snoRNA from 1 species
AAGACUAUACUUUCAGGGAUCAUUUCUAUAGUUUGUUACAUUGAUUAUGAUAUAUACCAUAUGCAUUGCAUAUACCACAAUUGAUGUGCAUAUAUGUAUA